CGACAAACGCGCUCUCUCUCUCUCUCUCUCUAACUUACUCACUCACUCACUCACUCACUCACUCACUCACUCACUCACUCACUCACUCACUCACUCACUCACUCACUCACUCACUCACUCACUCACUCAAUCUCACACACGCACAGUCCUCCUAAACAAUGUUCUCCACACGCAGCUGAAGCUUCGACAUUGGCCUGCCGUCAGAUUUAAUUUUUAGUUUCUGCCCAUGGGGCAGUUUGGUUACAUUUGACUAAAUACUCUAAAUCUCGACCCUCCUUGUUGCAAACGUGCUAAUCUCCCGCUAUUUGUUUACGUUGACGUUGAUGCUUUGAUUUGAUUGGUGUGAAGCCUGGCACCCUGCUGACUAAUCACAGGAGGGCAGUGUCAUGACGGUAGCCUCACCUGAUUGGUUAAUCCUUCUUCUUUUUAUUCACCAAGGGAUGCCGUCUCGGGCUGGCUUCCUCACAGACAUACAGUGUGCAAUGUCGUGUUUUACCACGUAUUCAGUAUUUAAGAUUUAGAGGGGCGCUGUUUCGCGCAUUUUGAAAUGCUCAAUGAGACGAGAAAAUGUGGAAGAAAUGACAGCAACACAGCACCAAAGAAUAACCAAAACUGUUAAUAUAAAUGUUUUUAUUGGAUGUCUAAAAAACAGGGAAGCCUGGCUUCCCUUGGCCUCCGGGAGAAAACGCCACUGCCAGUGACCCUUACACAAAUAGCUUAACCCCCCCUCCCCCAGAAUGUAUAUCAAAAUGAAAGAACGGAAAAUAUAAAUUCAAAGUACAGAUAUUUAUUUGGAGAGAUAUUUUUUUCAUCGUUCUUCUGAGGAAAGGGGUGUCAUGCAACUUUAGAGGUUAAGAACCAUAAGAGUUUAUGGAAGAAAUACCUUUAUUUUUUGUCUACGCUAAGCUAUGAAGGGGAUCAAUAGUAAUCAUACUUCUUGAUGAAAAUCCUGAUAAAAAAACAUAACUGCAAUCGGCUUCACGGAACAUGCCGUGAUCACUUUGUAAUUGAAGCCUUUCUUAGAUCCAUUCUUAAGCCUUUCUUCGAAAAAAAACAGAGGCCUUUGUCCUCCAAUCAGUUCUCGCUUCACUGCAUGCAAACGCCAAGAUGACAAUCAGGCAGUCAGUGAACAUUGUGUCUAGGCAGCGGGAUCUAAAAUGUUGGCCAAUGGUAGCGGAAGAAACAGAUGGAUGGAGACAAGCAACAAGGUAGCCGGCAGAAUGAGGAAAGGCUGUUGCUGCCUGAGGAGCGGAGACCAUGGUAUCGCUGCGUGGGCCCAGACAGCCCCCUGCUGCUAUAAACAUCCAGGAAGUUAUAUGUUGAUCCAUCAGAUCGUUGUUAAGGAGAUGGGGAGGGGGGUGUCAGAGGGAGGGCGACCUGUAGCUCUUUCUGAUCACUUCAUUCUCCCUGGGCAAUAAAGGAACAAGGGGAGGAGGACGACAUUGAAGCUCGUUGAGUAGUGCUAGAAUGAGGAACAGGGGCGAUUAUCAGGGGGCGGAAGGACAGAGUAGGAUGUGGAGAAGAAAAGCGACCAUGAAAAAAAUACAAAUAAAAUAAAAGGUACAUUUUCUGCAUUUGUUAGGAAAUCUAUAGAAGGACACUGUUUAGCAGGCAAACAUUAAAGCUUUAAUACAUUCACGACACGCACACCGACAGACUAUGUCAUGUCACCGCCUCUGUCUAAUCUGGUGUUCAUAUCCACACUUUUUUUGGCAGCGGCAGUUGGUGUUUAUGCUCCUGGAAGCCCUGUCUGGAUUGCCAGGUGAUUGCAAAAGAAAAAAGACUAGACCUUGUUUUGUUUUGUUUUUCCUCGUGCCAUAUGGCAACGGUUCACCACCCAACCCAGGUGUGAUUUAUGAAUUGGAUAAACAUGCCACCGAAGUAUCAGGAACGUUAAUUAUUUCUCCCUCUUUAAUGAGCCAUCUACACCCUCCAGUGACUAACUUGGGCCCUUAUUUAACAUUCAUUGGGGUGCACGAAUAAGUCAUCAGUCACGAUGAAAGAUAAACAUGCUGCAAAAUCGUAAAUAUUACAGUGAACUUGCUCUUCAUUACUUUAGCAUGAACUCCUGUUUAACCUCUUAUAAUUUACUUCAUGGACAUACGGCCCUUUCCACUAUGUUUGGAAAGCAAUUAUGUUUCCUUUCGGAAAGCUGACCUUCUCCCUAAUUCAUGACCUACCCUUGUCGUAACGCACUUUGUUCUCAAAUAUCCAGAGAUUUAAAAACAAAACCUUAACUAAAACAAAAGUCAAUGUACAAUAACUGUUUCAAUAGGUUUUUGCAUUUCACGUACAGAAGCGCUGAGGCCUCUCGGUUGUGUAAUGUGGGAGGUCGAACAAUGCACCAUUCAGCUGUAUCUGCCUUACACCCUCCAGUCGACGCCGUACCAUUCAAGGUAACGUGUACUUUGCAAUCGUCUGCUCUGCUCGGCCAAAGCCUAUGAUCUCAAAGCUCACACAGGACCGUGCAGUUGAUUGAUAAGCCACAGUGUAGGUUCACGUUCACAGUGUGACGAGCCUCAAAAAGGCAUUUUAUGCGUCUCUAUUCACAAUGUCCUAUAAGGUUCAGUUUCACUUCUAUAAGCCAUGUGAAGGUGAACACGGAGUCAAUGGUGCACUCCGGUUCUUUCCAGGGAAUUGUGGAAGAUUUCUAAUACUGCAAGAUGGCCGGUUACAAUUUAUGUCAUGUCAAAAACCCAUCCAGGCGUCUGAUUGCUUCAUCGCAGCUCGCUUUGGCAUCGUAACCCCCCUUACUCCGCUAGUCACACGGCAACCGAUUAGUCUUCAAUUCGACCCAAUUUGGAUAAUAGUUAGCGACUGUCAAAUCAGCUUCAAAUUUUUGCCUAAUUCCUGGAGUUUCAUCAUCUGUAAUUUAUUCCGGCUACAGGCCUAUUAAUUCUGCUGCUUUAUUUUGGUGUCUUAAGGUAUGACUGCGGUGAGUAAUGUGUUCUGUUUGCUGGGAUGUAGAUCUCCGGCCGCCUGCCUGUUCAUCAUGUUCAGUGGGCUCAGAGAGGCCACGGUGAAAGCAGCUUUGCCGUCGGAACAGUGUGUGCCCUGUAAGGCUGCCUCUCUGUGAAGGCACAGGCGUCAUAGGAGAGAGAGACGCUAACCGCAAGCUCGAGGCUGCGGUUGAAAAGCUGUUUUGAAAUCCUGAGAGGAAUGGGUUAAUAUCCGUUCCUUUUCAUCUUGGUCAAGAUUUUUUUUCAGUGGACUUUGUUAUCUGAAGGUAACUCGUUUCCAAUUUGCGUCACAUGGUCGACAAUGUAGCGCAGCUAUUUGUUAAAAAAAAAAUCUCGGAGAAAUAAAUGUCUACUUCCCAUGAUUUGGUUUAGAAUUCGAGGUUACGGAGACUCAAAUUGUGAAGAUGAUGCCCGCGUCUGGUGAAGGGUCAAGUGUUUGUUGGUUAUAAUACGGUGAUAACACAUGUUAACAUAUAUUUUUUUUCUUUUAAUCCUUCAAAACAUCAGCGUCAACCUGCCGCCAUAUGAAACCUCUCUCCAAGUUUGAGAUUUAGAAACUCCUCAUGGAAUGUUUCCUCAAGAGGAAGCAAGAAUGUUCCGCUGCACACAAGGCCUUCUCUUCCACUCUUGUGCCGUUUCUUCACGGCAGUGACCCGUUGUGCUCCAUCCCCCGUGCCUCGACCUCCGUUCUCCUCUUCACUGCUCUGUUCAAUCCUUCUAAGCAUGUUCUAAUUUGUCUUUCACUGCCUCCGUCCGCUCGUUUAUCUCCCAGCCCCAGAUUGUGUCUGUAACCACGCGCUCCGGGCCUAGGCUAGACUCACACCAUAUUAUUUUAUGAUGACGGGCCGAAAUGGCCUGCUCCGGGGUGAGAGUGCGUGUGUGUGCGUGUGUGUGUGGGUCUGUGCGUGUGUGUGUGUGUGUGUGUGUGUGCGGCACUGCGCGCACAUGUGCACGCAUGCAUCAUACACGGGCAGAAACGGAUGAGGACAUAACUUUUUGCCAUACUUUAGGUCUUUUGAAAUCUUGACUUUGUGACUUCAGCUCAUUCUAAAGGACCGACGUUUUAAUUCCUGACUUCAGCUCCCUUCCGCUACCGCCAAUGUCGUUAUUUAUAAGCGCCGGUGCCAGUUUGUGUUGGCAUGAUGCUAAUUGGUCCCACAGGCUCCCGCCCUUUCUAUCGCGGGCGUCACAAGGGGUCUGUCGUGGUGUCUCUCCGACAGAGCGUCGGACCCCCCACUGCGCUUUGUGAGAUUAGCCUUGCCCACCCCCCGGAGGCAGAGCACUUGAAGCGGGGCGUUUCAGAAGGACCUAGUGAAGUGGAAAGAAGACAGCCCCCCAUUCUGGGGGGGGGAGGCACGUUUUUGGCUUUGAACGCUAGAUUAAAUGAAGGCAUAUCAUCAUCUCCUAGCGUGCACACAAACAGAGACACACACACACACACACACACACACACACACACACACACACACACACACACACACACACACACACACACACACACACACACACACACACACACACACACACACACACACACACACGCGCGCACACA